AAGUCGUAACAAGGUUUCCGUAGGUGAACCUGCGGAAGGAUCAUUAACACGUCUUUAUAUCCAAUAUUUAAACAUAACGUGAACUAAAUUUAAUAUUUAUUGUUACUGAGGUUCAGUUCAGUUCAGUUCAGUUCAGUUCAGCUCAUUAACCUGAGUUUGAGUUGAGCUGCGUUGAGUUGAGUUUCAUAACAAUACAAUAUAUCAAUUUUUUAAACCUAUAUCAAAUUGACUUGAGCUAAUGUUUUCGAAUUGUAUCUAACAUUGUGGAGAUUUGCAUUUGAAUUGUAUUGUUGCAAUAACAAUAUAAUCCAAGGGUAAGGCUCUCAUUGUUAUUCAAUUUGAUCUAUCAAUACUUGAAUAUUGAGAACAACUCUUAGCAAUGGAUAUCUUGGUUCUC
rnacentral:misc_RNA from 1 species